UUAAACCUCAACCCAUAACCAAAUUUGAUAAAUAAAAGAUGAGAACCAAUUUGGCAUUCAGGCAAUUUGGACGCGAUUGAGAUUUCUAUUAUUUUUUAAUUCGGGUUUCGAUUUGGUCAUUCAUACUACUUGAAAUAAGGAAGAGCAAGACGAGAGGUUGACGCUAAGAAAUAGCAAAAAAGGGACACUCAACCAAUGUUUCUUCCAUCUCCUCUAUCUGUUCCUUGCUGAAUAUUGUCGCUGGUAGUUGGGGGAGAAACCAUCGCUGUGGAUAUGUACAGAAGAAACAUAAAUGAGGAGAAAUUUGACCGAGGCUAAUUUUGCUAAUAGGGUCAGAACAAUACAUGGUGCCAUGGAGAAUAUCUCAUUUAUCACUCAGAAUAAUAUGGACAAGAUUUGAAUUCUGGUUGUGCCCACUUAACGUACAUUCUACCUUACGGUGACAAAAAUGACCCGACAGUAGCCAAAAACAAUGGGAAUCUUAUUUAAGAGUAUUAACAGAUUGUUGUUCCAUUAGAUUUUCUAGCAAUCCAUCAUUUUUGAAUCCUUUUCAAUAUAUGUAAACUCUUGAUUGUGAAACAAUGUUGUAAUUAUUUUUAUUUUAUAUAUGGAUAAUAGU